rnacentral:lncRNA from 1 species
GCGGUGGUGAGCCCUGGAGGACCCAGGGUCAGCCCUCAGCGGAAGCGAGCUGGCGCGCUCCCCUGGGACUUGCCGUGGACAGGGAGACCCUGCAACAGGUGAUACCCGCGCUCUUAGCGAAGCCAGAUCGCUCGGGAAGCCGGCCGCAGGGCCACUUCUUCCCGGGACUGAGGCGACCUGGCCAGCGGAGGGCAAAGGCUGAUUCGCUUGACCUUUUGGGACCUCUGUCUCUCCCCAUCCUUAUUACAUCGAGGGAGGUGAGACAGAGGCUGAGGUCACUGCCAGCGCUGACGCUCGAGCGACCCCCGUUCUCAGGGCCUCUGCACAGGGGCGGCUGGGAGAAGUGGGCUCGGAGGACCAAAGGGGCCUGGCGUGGCCAGAGGCGGGAGGAGCAGCGGGGGACGCGCUGAAACAAGACGAUGUCAGAGAACCCAAAAUCGAAUGAAACAGACACACGAUUGGGUUCGAGGAGAACCAGCUAAAAGGCCCCUGGGUCAGCUCCAGGGCGCAGGCUGCGGUGUAGGGUCCCACGAAGGGCCAGCCUCCAGGUAACAUCGAAGACCCCUCGGACUAGCCAGGCCUUGAGCCUCAAGGGAGACCCCAGCUCCCCACCAGCUUGUCUGAACCCAGAGGAGCCCUGGAUCUGGGGUACAAGUGGCCCUAGAUCUGGGGGUCUGAGCACCUCCAAAGGCGGACUGGUGGGCUCUGAGAAUUUAGCACUCAGUGACCUGUCUUGGAACGGUGCUAGAAGAUGCACCUCACGGUGGCUCCUGGGAGUAGGACGGCUCCGGUGCGCCUACGUCUCUGGGAAGGCUGCCCAGGGCAGACCUUGGAGGGUAAGACCAGGAUGUGGCAGUGGUGUCUGUGCUCCCCAUCACACCCCAGCAGCAUCGGCAGCGGAUGGAGACCGUCCUCUGGCAGAAACGUCCUUGAGCCCAGGUCCUGCCAGGCAUCUCCCUGCUGUGUGCUUGGCACCUCAACCAGAUCCGGGAGGCCCACCAGUGAGCAGAGAUGGGCUGACCAAAGCUGGGUGAGGGAGCCUGUGCUUGGAUCGGGGACCUGGGGCCUCAGACCUGGGGGAGAGAUGUCCCAGGGGAAGAGCUGGCCCCCUUUCCUGGCGGAGCUCAACAACUCCACACCUGGCAGCUCCCUGUGCACCCAUCACAGGCCACAGAUGGGUCCCAGCAAGCGGAUGUGUGCUCCACUGUACAGCUCCCACAAAGCUGGGGGUUCCUCUUGGGCAUGCAUGGGAGAACACAGUAGACAAAGGGCCCCCCUGCAGGACUGGGGAGCUGCCCUGCUGCCUGUGGGGUGGGGCCAAAUCUCAAGGGGUCAAAGAGAAUGAAGUGCUGACUGUACCCUUCAUGCUGGGACAGCAGACCUUCAGCAGGAACUGCUGGCAUGCCAGGCCCUGGCCAAGCACCUUAGAGCCGCCUGCUGCCUGUCGCUACUUAUACGAAAGUUAAAACUCAAGAACGUUAGCUAAAACUAAAAGCCGAGGUCCUCAGCUGCACUGACCGCAUGUCAGGGGCAUGGGAGGGAAUGUGGCCAGUGGCUAUGGCAGUGAGAAGUCCAGGCUCAGAGCAUGCAGUGGGCAGUCCGGCCGGUCAGUGUUGCUCUGCAUGCGUGCUCAUUUGAUCAACAAGGAUGGAUCCCAUGCCAAGGGCUGAGGCCUGUGCCAGGUGCUGGCAACCCAGCAGUGAUCACCCUCUUCUACUCUACUGUGGAGAGGCAUAUAAUGAGUCAGAUGAUAGAUAAAUACAUGAUAGAUAAUAAAUAGAUUGAUAGAUCAAUGAUGGAUAGAUAGGCCCAUAGAUGAUUAGAUAGAUAGAAGAUCGAUAAUUCAGAUGGACAGAUGAGUAGAUCAGUAGCUAGGAAGAUCAAUAGACAAUAGAUGGGGGAUAUAGAGAAACCCUGCCACAGAACACUUAGAUCUGGGAAGAGUGGUCGGGGGUCAGAGUGAGUGUCUCUGGGGCAGUGGCAACUGCACCAUCCCAGAAGGUGGUGAGGGGCCUGUUCUGUGCAGGCUUGGUAUGGGGCAUGUCAGGAGGUCAGCAGUGUGAUGAGCGAGGCCUGGGGGAGGUGUGUGUUGGACCACAGGGAAGCAGAGUGGACACACACGUCAGGGCCCCACAGUGGGGUCGCUCAGGCUGCAGCCCUGAGAUUGGACCGCAGAGCCAGCACAGGAGCAGGAAGCCGGGGAGGCUCCAGCCAGCCCUGCAGGAACUGCUGGCAGGCCUCCCAACAUGCAUGAUGCGCACGUGCAUGAGAGGCUGAGAGCCAGAUGGCCUGAGGCUGGGCUGCCCUUGCUUGGCUCAGACAGGAGCUCCAGCGAGGGAUGUGUGAAGUGCAGCAUUGGUCAUCCACAUCAAGGUUGGGGUGAGGAAGGACAGACAUUGGCAUGGCAAAUUAGAACCAGCAGCAGUCCCCAUAUCACAAAGUCAGCCCUGGAUUCCAGAGACCAAGGAAACCAGCAGCAAGAUAGAAAGUGCAGCCUACCACAGCCACAGAAUCCAGCCAACAAGACAGGCCAUGCACCCAACCACAGCCACAGAACCCAGCCAGCACCCAAGAGGCCUGCACCUAGCCACCCCAAGGUGGCAGGGAGAGGCCACAGGAGCCUUGCAUGUCCAUCUGCAGAAGCACCUGCUCUGAGAAACCUUGUCCUCAGAUUCUUAGGACCAGGGACAUCGUUGUCAGAAACCACCCAGUGGCACAACCCAUUCUUGCCUGAAAAGUCCAAGCCCCAUGCAUCACUCUGACAUAGACAAGCAGCAUCGGUUUCCAAGCCUAGUGUGCCCUCAGAUCCCCAACCCCAGCUGUGCACGCCUUGCCAAAGCCCCAAUACGUGGAGGAGGUGAACCUGGGUUGAGUGCAAUGGGUUGAGAUUACUGACCAGCUGACUUUGAGAAGGCUGAGUGUCCAAGUGGGUCUCAUUCAAUCACGUGAUCUGGUAGCUGGGACUAGUCCUCUGAGGGGUCACAGAGAGUGGAGGCAUGUGAGUGGCCAGGAGGGCCAAGACAUGAGGACAGUUCUUCACUGCUGAGAGCAGUGAGACAACAGGCACCUCAGGCUUGAAUUACAAGGAUGCUGUCUCUGCCAGUGAUGCAGGGGGGUUCGGGGCAGCUCCUUCCCCAGUCCAGCUCCCAGAAGAGGACACAGCCUGCCUGCCCCCUUGGUUCUGCCUGAUGAGACCCAGGGCAGAGACUGGUGUGAUGCACCAGCUUUGCUGUGCUGAUUUGUGGCAUGUGGACAGAAAACUGACACAUCUGUGCUGAGCUUCAGUCGAGAGGCUCCACACUUGACUGUCCAUGUGUUGAUUUUUGUGUAGCGUUCCAAUAGGCAGAAGUCAAGGGAACAGCAUUUCUCCCCAGGCUGCCCUGAGCACUCCGUCCUCCAGCCCUCACUCUUCCCCACCUCCACAAAGACCACCAGGGCCCCAGUUACUGAUGGCCCAUGACCCAGAGCUGACCUCUGCCUCGCAGCUGCUCUCAGGAUCACCCAGCAGAGCACCAGGCCCUGAUGCCCCUUGGGUGCUCUGCAGCAGGCAGCGAGUGACCUCAGUGAGGUCCUGCAAUGGGGUUGAUCUCAGCAGUCUUACCAACUGGGUUCAUCAUCAGGUAGGAGGAACACUUCCAUCAUCCAAACCUGCCCCUGGAGCACAGAUACCAGUUGUGGACCCUGACCCCUGCUUCUGGUGUACAUAGGUAAACCUAUCUCAGGCCACCUGAGAGCUCUGGGUGGGGAGAACAUGAACAGGUGUGGACAACCUGGGGC